rnacentral:sRNA from 1 species
CAAAUCGAAAUAUGAUACUGGGCUAAGGGUCAAGUUGGUAAUUUUUCUUACACCUCCCCCUCCUCGAGCCCAAGUAUCACAUACACCCCCAAAAUAAAGAGCCUAGACAG